UACGUAGGGGGCGAGCGUUGUCCGGAUUUAUUGGGCGUAAAGCGCGCGCAGGCGGUUUCUUAAGUCUGAUGUGAAAGCCCUCGGCUUAACCGAGGAGGGUCAUUGGAAACUGGGAGACUUGAGUGCAGAAGAGGAAAGUGGAAUUCCAAGUGUAGCGGUGAAAUGCGUAGAGAUUUGGAGGAACACCAGUGGCGAAGGCGACUUUCUGGUCUGUAACUGACGCUGAGGCGCGAAAGCGUGGGGAGCAAACAGG
rnacentral:rRNA from 1 species